CGGAGAAUGUUAUCACGGGAGACACACGGCGGGUGCUAACGUCCGUCGUGAAGAGGGAAACAACCCAGACCGCCAGCUAAGGUCCCAAAGUCAUGGUUAAGUGGGAAACGAUGUGGGAAGGCCCAGACAGCCAGGAUGUUGGCUUAGAAGCAGCCAUCAUUUAAAGAAAGCGUAAUAGCUCACUGGUCGAGUCGGCCUGCGCGGAAGAUGUAACGGGGCUAAACCAUGCACCGAAGCUGCGGCAGCGACGCUGAUGCGUUGUUGGGUAGGGGAGCGUUCUGUAAGCCUGUGAAGGUGGCCUGUGAGGGUUGCUGGAGGUAUCAGAAGUGCGAAUGCUGACAUAAGUAACGAUAAAGCGGGUGAAAAGCCCGCUCGCCGGAAGACCAAGGGUUCCUGUCCAACGUUAAUCGGGGCAGGGUGAGUCGACCCCUAAGGCGAGGCCGAAAGGCGUAGUCGAUGGGAAACGGGUUAAUAUUCCCGUACUUGGUGUUACUGCGAAGGGGGGACGG
rnacentral:rRNA from 2 species